rnacentral:lncRNA from 1 species
CAAAUUAAUAUAUUUAUAAGCCACAGAUUAUCGUUAAGUCGUAAAUUUUCAAAUUUUUAUAACACAAUUAGAUAGUUGAUCACAAAUAAUCGAAUAGUUGGUCACAUACUACUUCCACCACAGCCGCUUACGACAACCACCACCAUCCACCGCCAGUAACACAGACACAGCUCGACAACCCACCACCAACGGCCAUUUCAGUCCAUUUUACUUUUGACGGUAAACUGGGUGCAACAACAACGCCACUUUACCACCACUGUUACCGUUUCCAUCAAACUUCCAUUUUCAACUUCACAAUCAUCGUUUUCAACUACAAAAUCACCACUGGCACCGUCAGACCACCACCACUAGAUCUACCGCCAAAUUCAACAAAAGACUAUCAUAACCGCCAGAUCCAUCACCGUUCUCGCCACCAACAAGAAUCACAACCACCACUAGAUCCAACAAAAUCACCGCCGCCGCCUUAAAUUCUUACAAAAAAAAUCUACAAAUCUGUCUUCGGUACCACCACCACCGGCUCAAAUCACAACCCACAGACUUUAUACAAAACCACAAACUUCGUCAAUGCCAAACCACAACCUCACAUUCAAAAUGUGCAAAUUUUUAGACAACAUUCACUACGCAGAUCAGUCGAUGCUUAUAACAGGAUGAGAUGAAAUGAUCGUCUGGGUACGGAUAAGAAAGAGAUUGCUACUUCUCAGCAUAGUAGCAGUGGCAGAGCUUCUCCAUUAUGGGGUGGCACUACGCCGAGGUUCCGAGAGUGGCAGAAUCGAAGAAGUUGCUAUUGAUAAUGAUCGCCCCCGCGUCUGAGGUCUUUGGAGUGGCUACCACUGCAUCGGAGUUGAGGCAUUGAAAAAGCAGAUGUUGGAGUGGAGGCGUGGGAGAAGCGAUUAUUAGGAGUAGAGAUAGUUCUCCACCAAAUGCAGCGAUAUCGAGCAACGUCGAUCUUAGAGCGCUACCUGUAGUGAGGGGUCGUUAGUGACCACUACAGCACAACACCGACAAUGUCGUGAGCAACUAAGCGCUCGCCGGUGGUUUAUGCGGUGGCGGCGUGUGGUGGUAAAGAGAAAGACGAUAUAUUUAUGAAAUAUA